GAAGGUCCGGGCGUUAUCCGGAUUUAUUGGGUUUAAAGGGAGCGUAGGCUGGAGAUUAAGUGUGUUGUGAAAUGUAGACGCUCAACGUCUGACUUGCAGCGCAUACUGGUUUCCUUGAGUACGCACAACGUUGGCGGAAUUCGUCGUGUAGCGGUGAAAUGCUUAGAUAUGACGAAGAACUCCGAUUGCGAAGGCAGCUGAUGGGAGCGCAACUGACGCUGAAGCUCGAAGGUGCGGGUAUCGAACAGGAUUAGAUACCCUGGUAGUCCGCACAGUAAACGAUGGAUGCCCGCUGUUGGUACCUGGUAUCAGCGGCUAAGCGAAAGCGUUAAGCAUCCCACCUGGGGAGUACGCCGGCAACGGUGAA
rnacentral:misc_RNA from 1 species